rnacentral:rRNA from 1 species
GACGAACGCUGGCGGCGUGCUUAACACAUGCAAGUCGAACGAUGACGACCGAGCUUGCUCGGUCUGAUUAGUGGCGAACGGGUGAGUAACACGUGAGCAACCUGCCCUUCACUCUGGGAUAACCUCGGGAAAUCGGGGCUAAUACCGGAUAUGAGCUCCUGUCGCAUGGCGGGUGUUGGAAAGUUUUUCGGUGAAGGAUGGGCUCGCGGCCUAUCAGGUUGUUGGUGAGGUAGUGGCUCACCAAGGCGAUGAAGGGUAGCCGGCCUGAGAGGGCGACCGGCCACACUGGGACUGAGACACGGCCCAGACUCCUACGGGAGGCAGCAGUGGGGAAUAUUGCACAAUGGGCGAAAGCCUGAUGCAGCGACGCCGCGUGAGGGAUGACGGCCUUCGGGUUGUAAACCUCUUUCAGCAGGGAAGAAGCGAAAGUGACGGUACCUGCAGAAGAAGCGCCGGCUAACUACGUG